CGUAGGGAAACCGAGUCUUAACUGGGCGAAUGAGUUGCAGGGUAUAGACCCGAAACCCGGUGAUCUAUCCAUGGGCAGGUUGAAGGUUGGGUAACACUAACUGGAGGACCGAACCGACUAAUGUUGAAAAAUUAGCGGAUGACUUGUGGAUGGGGGUGAAAGGCCAAUCAAACCGGGAGAUAGCUGGUUCUCCCCGAAAGCUAUUUAGGUAGCGCCUCGUGAACUCAUCUUCGGGGGUAGAGCACUGUUUCGACUAGGGGGUCAUCCCGACUUACCAACUCGAUGCAAACUGCGAAUACCGAAGAAUGUUAUCACGGGAGACACACGGCGGGUGCUAACGUCCGUCGUGAAGAGGGAAACAACCCAGACCGCCAGCUAAGGUCCCAAAGUCAUGGUUAAGUGGGAAACGAAGUGGGAAGGCUCAGACAGCCAGGAUGUUGGCUUAGAAGCAGCCAUCAUUUAAAGAAAGCGUAAUAGCUCACUGGUCGAGUCGGCCCGCGCGGAAGAUGUAACGGGGCUAAACCAUGCACCGAAGCUGCGGCAGCGACACAAAGUGUUGUUGGGUAGGGGAGCGUUCUGUAAGCCUGCGAAGGUGUACUGUGAGGUAUGCUGGAGGUAUCAGAAGUGCGAAUGCUGACAUAAGUAACGAUAAUGCGGGUGAAAAACCCGCACGCCGGAAGACCAAGGGUUCCUGUCCAACGUUAAUCGGGGCAGGGUGAGUCGACCCCUAAGGCGAGGCUGAAAAGCGUAGUCGAUGGGAAACGGGUUAAUAUUCCCGUACUGGUGGUAACUGCGAUGGGGGAACGGAGAAGGCUAGGUUGUCCGGGCGACGGUCGUCCCGGUUCAAGCAGGUAGGCAGAGUGAUUAGGCAAAUCCGGUCACUUAAUGC
rnacentral:rRNA from 1 species